rnacentral:rRNA from 1 species
GUAGUCCUACGGGGGGCAGCAGUGGGGAAUAUUGCACAAUGGGGGAAACCCUGAUGCAGCGACGCCGCGUGAGUGAAGAAGUAUUUCGGUAUGCAAAGCUCUAUCAGCAGGGGAGAUAAUGACGGUACCUGACUAAGAAGCUCCGGCUAAAUACGUGCCAGCAGCCGCGGCAAUACGGAGGAUGCGAGCGUUAUCCGGAUUUAUUGGGUUUAAAGGGUGCGUAGGCGGUCCGUUAAGUCAGCGGUAAAAUUGCGGGGCUCAA